rnacentral:rRNA from 1 species
GACGAACGCUGGCGGCGUGCUUAACACAUGCAAGUCGAACGGAAAGGCCCUGCUUUUGUGGGGCGCUCGAGUGGCGAACGGGUGAGUAACACGUGAGUAACCUGCCCUUGACUUUGGGAUAACUUCAGGAAACUGGGGCUAAUACCGGAUAGGAGCUCCUGCUGCAUGGUGGGGGUUGGAAAGUUUCGGCGGUUGGGGAUGGACUCGCGGCUUAUCAGCUUGUUGGUGGGGUAGUGGCUUACCAAGGCUUUGACGGGUAGCCGGCCUGAGAGGGUGACCGGACAGAGUGGGGAUGAGAUGAGGGCGGGACGGCGCCGGGAGGCAGCAGCGGGGAAUAGGGCACGAGGGGCUGAGGCCUGAUGCAGGAACGCGGCGGGGGGGAUGAGGGCCUGCGGGUUGUAAACCGCGAUCGCCUGGGAAGAAGCGGGAGUGAAGGGAAGGGGUAAAGAAGCAAAGGCUAACGACGGG